rnacentral:lncRNA from 1 species
GGUAAAUAUGAGCAAACAACAGAAAAAGGAGAAAGAAAUUACAAUACACAUCUUUUGGACAGGUAACAAGAAAAGAGAGAAUGAAACAGAGUGGGAGGGAUUAGCUAAGGAAAAAAUCAGAAGUCCCAGCGAAUUGGAUACAAGCUUCGGAAGAACUCAAAAUGCAAUUCAAAACACAAUUAAGAGAGGAUGAAGACAAUUGGGAAAAUAACUUUAAAACUAAGAUAAGUCAUCUGGAAACAGAAAAUAGUGUCUUGAAAGCCAAAAUCAACCAGCUUGAAAAUGAGGCAAAGAAGACAAAAGAAGAGGCAAAGAGGAUAAAAGAUGACCUCCAAGGAAAAUCAGACCAGAAGGAGAAGGAUGACCAAAAGCCAGGGAUGAAAUGCAGUCUUUACGAACCAGAAUGUAACAACUAGAAUUAAGUGACAUCACAAGGCAGCAGGACACUAUGAAAUAAAACCAAAAGAAUGAAAAAAUUGAGGAAAAUAUGAAGCAUCUCAUUCACAAAACAGAGGAUUUAGAAAAUUGUUUGAGGAGAGACAAUUUAAGAAUCAUUGGCCUACCAGAAGACCAUGACAAAAUAAAAAGCCUGGACACAAUAUUACAGGAAAUUAUUUAAGAAAACUGCCCCAAUAUUCUAGAACAAGAGGGAAAAGUGGAGAUUGAAAGAAUCCACAGAUAACCUCCUGUAUGUUAUCCCCACCUGACAACACCCAGGAAUGUUAUAGCCAAAUUCAAGACCUAGCAGACCAAAGAAAAGAUAUUACAAGCUGCCAAGUAAAAGUCAUUCAGAUACCAUGGAACCACAGAUAGGAUAACACAGGAUGUGGCUGCAUCUACACUGAAGGACUGAAAAGCAUGGAAUAUGAUAUUCUGGAAAGCAAGGGAACUAGGUCUACAACCAAGAAUCAACUACCCAGCAAAACUGACUAUAUUCUUACAGGGGAAAGUAUGGUCUAUAAACAAAAUAGAAUUCCAAGAAUUUGUAAAGAAAAGAUCAGAGCUUAACAGAAAAUUUGAUGCCCAAGCACAGAACUCAAGAGAAUCAUCAAAAGGCACUAUGAUGGAGGUAAAAAGAAAGGAAAAAACAACCCUUGCUCUCAAGGAGCUCACAUUCUAAGGAGGAGGAAAUACAAAAACAAUUCAUGUUCAUACAGAGUAAUCUCAAGUGGAAAAGACUUACUGCAAAAGGUGAGAUUUUAGCUGAGUCUUGAAAAAAGGAUGAGAAGCCAGGAGGUACAUAGGAGGGGAAUUACAGGCAUGAAGCAGGUGCACAAGAGACAGUUCGGAGACAGAGUGUCCUGUGUGAAGAAUAGCAAGAAGGCCAAUGUAAGAUGAUCUAUGUCUUUAAUGAAUAAUGCUUGGAAAUGAUCAAAUAAAAUAUAUUUU